UUACCUUGGCUAAAGUGGAAAAAGAGAAACAUGCCACAGAGAACAAGGUUAAGAACCUGACUGAGGAGAUGGCUUCUCAAGAUGAGAGCAUUGCUAAGCUGACCAAGGAAAAGAAA